rnacentral:rRNA from 2 species
ACGACCAUAGGGUGUGGAAAACAGGGCUUCCCGUCCGCUCAGCCGUACUUAAGCCACACGCCGGCCGGUUAGUAGUUGGGUGGGUGACCACCAGCGAAUCCCGGCUGUUGUAUGUC